UUUCUCUGAAAAUUAUGCAGAUUCGCCGUGGUGCUUGGAUGAGCUUGUGAAGAUACUUGAAUGCAAGAAAACAUCAGGACAAUUAGUCCUACCAGUGUUUUACCAUGUAGAUCCAGCCGAUGUUCAAGAGCUGACUGGCAAUUUUGGGGAGUCAUUUGCAAUUGCUAAGAAUGGGGAAGAACUUAAAGGUUGUUUAGACAAGGUGGAAGACUGGCGCCAUGCUUUGAUGGAAAUA
rnacentral:misc_RNA from 1 species